GACGAACGCUGGCGGCGUGCUUAACACAUGCGAGUCGAACGGGAUUUAGUAAACAGAAGCCUCGGUGGAAGAUUACUAAUGAGAGUGGCGAACGGGUGAGUAACGCGUGAGCAACCUGCCUAUGACAGUGGGAUAGCCUCGGGAAACCGGGAUUAAUACCGCAUAAAAUCGUAGAAACACAUGUUUUAACGGUCAAAGAUUUAUCGGUCAUAGAUGGGCUCGCGUCUGAUUAGCUAGUUGGUGAGAUAACAGCCCACCAAGGCGACGAUCAGUAGCCGGUCUGAGAGGAUGAACGGCCACAUUGGAACUGAGACACGGUCCAAACUCCUACGGGAGGCAGCAGUGGGGAAUAUUGCACAAUGGGGGAAACCCUGAUGCAGCGACGCCGCGUGAACGAAGAAGGUAUUCGUAUCGUAAAGUUCUGUCCUAUGGGAAGAUAAUGACAGUACCAUAGAAGAAAGCUCCGGCUAAAUACGUG
rnacentral:rRNA from 1 species